rnacentral:lncRNA from 1 species
UUGGCAAACAAACACUUCCAAUAAAGGUGUUGUUGCCUUUAGGUUACUCUCAAAUGGUAACAUGGUUUUAAUUGAUGCCAAAGGUAAAUUUGUUUGGCAAAGUUUUGACCAUCCAACAGAUACCCUUUUGGUUGAUCAAUAUUUAAAACCUAAUGGUCCUUCAAAGCUUGUUAGUAGACUUUCAGAAAAAGAAAAUGUUGAUGGUCCUUAUAGUUUGGUUUUGGAGCCUAAAGGUUUGGCUUUAUAUUAUAAGAGUACAAAUUCUCCUAGGCCAAUUAAAUAUUGGUUUUCAUCUUCUUGGUUUUCAUUUGAAAAAGGUUCAUUAGAAAAUGUCACACUAAAAUCUGAUCCAGAAUCUUUUGAGUAUGGAUUUGAUUUUUUUGUUGCCAAUUCUACCACUUCUGGUAGUAGUAUCAUUGGUAGGCCAGUGAAUAAUAGUACCUUAACAUAUCUUAGGCUUGGAAUUGAUGGUAAUAUUAAAUUUCACACCUACUUCCUUGAUGUGCGUAGUGGUGUUUGGAAAGUGACAUACACUCUCUUUGAUGAAGAUGAAGAUGAGGGUGAGUGCCCAAUUGCCUGAGAGAUGUGGGAAAUUUGGGCUUUGUGAGGAUAAUCAAUGUGUUGGUUGUCCAUUGGAGAAUGGAAUAUUUGGUUGGAGUAAUAAAUGUAAUGCUAAGCCUUUAGGAGGAGUAUGCAAAGCAAGUGAAUUUCAUUACUACAAAAUUGAAGGAGUUGAGCACUACAUGAGCAAAUACACUACUGGUGAUAGUGUAAGUGAAGAUGCAUGUGGAAACAAAUGUACCAAGGAUUGUAAGUGUGUUGGGUAUUUCUACCACAAGGAUAACUCAAGGUGUUGGAAAGCUUAUGAUCUUCAAACCCUUACUAAAGUAGAAAAUACUACACACGUGGGUUUUAUUAAGGUUCCUAAUAAGUAGUAAGAUAAGCUUAGAUUUCUCUUUGGGAAGGUCUUGGUAUUGUAUUUUAAUUGUAUCAAUUUAAUAUAGUUAUUUCCUACUAGUGGUUUUAGAUUGCAAUAAAGUUGUCGUUAUCUCUCUGCUCUCCACUUGGAGAAGGAGAUGUAAUAUUUCUAUUAUAAAUUAUGAAGUGUGCAAUGAAAGUGUUGUUCUCAUGCUAUGAUGUUUUGUUUUAUGUUUUUGUGUUGUUCUUGCUUAAAGAUUGGGUGGGUGCAGAUUUGUCAUAUAAUUCGGUGAUCGGUUUCAUAAACUCGAAAGGGUCUGCUUCAUUUGGUUCUGAUAACCCUCAGGGGUCUAUGUUACUAACAUAUUUGACUCAUCCCGCGAUGAGGGUUAUUACGCGUCUAAUUGAAACUGCAGGUCUCAAGGCGUCAGAACUACCUCCACUUUGGUACCGACUUUUUAUCUGUCUCAGUUCAUGUUACUGAUUUCAGACCGUUAGGCUCGAAAAAGCUUUAUUACUUGCUGGUUGGUUCAGAGAGUUGUUGGUUAGUGGAUCUUGAUUCCUUAUUGGUGGUCGAUCCAUACACCAGUUAUGAACCCUAAUUAUUCUUUAGAGAUGUUCAUUUUUCAUCUUUUUUGUAUCCUGGUUUCUCGCCCGUACACGGGUUCGCUGGGUUGCACUCGUGGAGAGUGAUUGUCUAUUUAGAUAGAUUAGGGCAGGUUUACCUGGUUUAUUUUUCACUAUGUAUUCCCGUUAGGGGCGGAUCCAGACUUUUGGUACAUGUGAGGCUAAAUUUUUAAAUAAACAAUAAUACAACCUAUAUUAAAAAUAAGAAAUAACAUUGUUUGAUACAAUACAUUAGAAUGAAAAUCGUCGCCUAUCCAUUUGUUAAAAAUGAGUUAAAAUGACAUCAGUACUAAUUGUUAAAAGAACAUCUCUUUCUAUAUAAGUUACAAGAUGGUCAAUUAGUCAGUGAUCAUCCAUUUUGUUACAUAGGUUACUCUUCACAACUUUCAUAGCUAAAAAAACGCCUUUAACACUUGCAGCUGUUACCGGCAAGAGCAAAACCAACUUCAAAAGUUUAUAAAUCAUAGCAAAUGUGUUGCAUUUAUUUGUUUCCACAAGUUUUGCAAAGACUUCUAAGCCCUUUCAACUUAGCAAAUUUUGGGUCGGAUCGAACAUUUAUAACAUAAUUCUUAAGUUGAUGGCGAAACACCACUUCCGACACAUCUAUACAAUCAUUUGGAUAAAACUCUGUCAUCAUCAAUAACUUAUUCACAUCAAAGCUACAAAUGAUUUUGCGGAACUCAAACAUGAAACACACUAUAAAAGAGAUAGUUAACUUAUUAACUAAGUUGUUUUUUUAUAUUAUAUUUGUUACUAAAAAAAGGGAAAAGGCAUGUGGGGCUUUAGCCAUACAUAGCCACUAUGUGUGUCCGCCAAUGAUUCCCGUUUUAUAUGGUACCUGGGUUAGGUCUCAUGCCCCAAUCUUAUAGCUCUUUGUGUUAAUUUAAUAUAAUUUUUAUUUUGCCUAAAAAAAGUGUUGUUCUAAUUGUCUUAAAGUUAUUUGAAUUGGUAAGCCAAGGAUCAAAGUUAUUUCUUUAUAAUUUGUUCCUAGUUUGACAUUAACAAUUGGGUUCCAUUCAAAUAAUAUUUCAGGGUUUUAAGUUCAUUAAUUAUAUGAGAUUACAAUGAUCGUAAGGGAAAACAAUGAAUAAAAUAUAAGAUAGCUUAUGAAAGACGAAAAAAUUAUUUAUGCUCUAUCCAAAAUUUAUUUAUGGUCUAAAUGACUUGGUCCUCCUGUUUACUCUCUUAUGAGGAAGUUAUAUCCCAUACCUCAACACGUGUACUUUCACUCCUACAAAUUUUUAAAAAUUUUAAUUUUACCUCUUUUACUAUUUAAUCUUUUAUACAUUAAUUUUUCAUCCUCAUUUUCAACAUCUUCUAAUUCAGAAUGGAUGCACCCCCACAUGAUAUUUUGUUAGUAUGUAUUUUUGUUUUCUUCUUCACCAUAAAACGUUUCCGGAAAUAUUUCGGAACACUCAUAUAUGUUUCCGAAAAUAAUUCGGAAUACUCGUAUGUAGCAGCUUUCCGGUGCAUGCGAGUUAUGCUAAGUAAUUUCAUUAUAUAAAAUAAAGAACCGGAAACGUGUAUCCUAGUUUUUCCGGUCCAAAAGAAUUAACACAAAAGCAUCAACAAAGCCGAACCAAAAAAAAAAAAUAAAAGCACACAAUUAGCAGUUAGCAAUAACAUCUUCAAAAAUUGCCAGCCCACAAAGUUAGUAUUUGCCUUAUAUGUUAAGAUGUGAAGAAAGUUAGAUAGACCUUACAUCUUAGGAGGUCAAGAAAUGAAGUGGACUGAUAAAAUCAAUGAGGAGGUCAAGAACAAUGCUCCUUCAUAAGCUAAUGGCAUAGAUCAAUGGAAGAAACAUUCAAUUUGUAAAGUACCCUCACAAGUCAGUGUUGAACAAAAAGGCAUUGAUUUACAGUAACAAUGUCAUUGAUCUAUGGGCAGCUUUCAUUCAUUAAAACAGUUUGAGUCCAAAAAAAAUUAAGAACUUAAAAAUGAAAAGAAAAAAAAAGAUGCCUGAACCGAAAAUCUUCACGCAACCAUUCCGGAAGAAAUCCAAAACGAUAACUGGAAAGCUUUGCAUGCGUUUUUCGAAAAAUCAACCGGAAUGCUUCGUAUGCGUUUUACGGGAAUCAAUGAUUUGAAAAUCGAUUAUGGAAACAACUCGUAACACAAUUCCAUGAAGGAUUCCGGUAACUCACUACCCCAUAAAACCUUGACAAACCCACAAAACCUAAAACCUCAAUCAAUAAUUCCAUUGAACUUUUUUUUUUUUUUUUGAAGAAGCUAAAAUAUUCCAUUGAACGAUCAAGAGAAAGAAUAGAGAAAAAGGAAACGAUUAUGAGAACAAUCAAUAAUUGAUGAUGAUUUUUGCAAAGAAAGUUUAUUGUUGUUUGUUGGGAGUGGAAGUUUUCUUUUUUCUAGAAAAGAAGGGGUAAAGGUGGGGUGAACGUGAAAGUGUGAAAUAUGUUUAAUUUUAUAUAAAGGGUAAAUUUGGUAGUUCAUGUAAAAUGUUGGGGUAAAAGUAUAAUAGUAGGGGUAUAGGGUAUAACUUCCCUCUUAUGAGUGCGGUGGGCAUACAAAUACCACUUAAAUUAAUUUAAGCUACACCAUUAAUCAAUGGUAUGGACAAUGCAUAACAUGUAAAUUUUGGGUUCGAACCCUGAUCACCAGUUUUUAUUUAAUUGUUCUUGCUUAUAAUUUUUAAACAUUUUUUUUCCGAUGUAGCUGAUAAAGAUGGUGGUGCGAUGAGCAGUUGUUGCCCUCCGCACCACCCCUCUCCCAUAUCUCUCUGCGAUUUCAAUGUCGGUGGUUUUGGGGCAGGUUGUUCUGGUUCACGAUUUCUCCCUCCUGGCGUCCUCCAAAGCGUUGGUGGUUUCGGUCGUCUUCAACAACCUCUUCUUGAGUUAGUUUCAACAACCACCACUUUUUCAUGGCAGCGUUGGUGGUUUGGAAGUUUGAUCUCGUGUUCACAGAUCGGUUCGACGGAGGAUCUUCGCCGGUGACAGAUCUUAUAGUGGUUCAAAAUCUAGGCUCUUUUUAGAAAUCUGGAUUGGUUCUUUGUUGGUUAAGGCUCUUGGCUCUGACAUAUGUUUCGUGUUUUCUGCGAUUCGUUUGAAGGUGGUGUUGGAGUUGUUGCAGCUGAAUUGUUGGUUUGUGGUUGGUUUGUUCGAUCUUUGAUUUUAUGAUUCAUUUUCAGAGUGUUGAGCACUGCAUGUUUCAUGGUUUGUUCAGCUGACAUGUACCAAUCCCACUGCAAUAGGUGAUAUUAUCCUUAUCACUCUUUGUGUUUGAUUGGGACUGUUAGGCUUGAAAGAGUAGUUAUACUUGAUGUUGUUUGUCGUAGGUAGUUGUCGGCUCUUGGAUUUGUAUCAUGUGGGCGGUCAGUCCAUACGCCGUUUUUCAGUUUUCAGUUGUUUACCUACUUAAUGAGACGUAGACGUUUUCCUCUCCGACGGUCAAGCAUCGACUCAUAUUCCCAACCUACUGUCGUCGUCAUCCUCAAGGUUGUCGUCGUUCUUCAAGGUCUGAUAAGGGACUAACUGUUGUGUUGAUCCAUGUGUUUCUGGAUGGUGGUUGCGAUUCUGAUCUAAAGUUUCCAGUAUUCCUCCCCGCGCCGGAGAAGGGUCUUAUGUGGUAUUUGCUUUGGGGCUUGAAAGAGUGUAUAACUUGUUGUGAUCUGCAGGAAGAAGAUGGUAUGUGGACCUGCUUCGUGUUGACGGUUGGUCCAUUCACCGCAGUUUCGACCUCUACUUAAGAGGUUGUUAUGAUCCAUUUGUGUUGUUUUUAAUUUUCAUAUUACCCGUUUGGGUAGACCUACAUUUUGUGGAUAAACCGGUUAGGUUUAUGUCCCCAGGUUUUUUUAUGUAUUUUUUUCCUUUUCUUUAAUAAUAUAUAUGAGCAUUUGGUAGAAGAUUAGAGUUGAAUACCAACCUAGUUAGGAGCCACUCUUUUUGAUGUCGUUUGCUUUUGCCUUGUAAAAAAACAAGAUUAAUUUUUCAGGGCCCUUUAUGAUAUUAUUCAGUCAACACUUAAAAUAAAUUUUUUAAGCAUAAUUUAUAAGGUAUGGAUUCGCCUUUCAUAAAGGUUAACUCAAGUGGAAUCUCAUGUUUUUUCAUAUUGUAUUCAAAUUAGUAAAAGACAAAUGCAUUCGUACGGGGUCGUGUCACAUUGCGAUAAUUAUAUAAAAAUGAUUACAUUGUUAAUAUUUUGACAUGUUUAAAAAUAUUAAAUAAAAAUGAUUAACAUAGUAGUUUUUAAUAAAAUAUUUGUUUAUUUAAUUUGCAACAGUUGGUUUAUUUAAUUUGUCACCGUCGGAAUACCGCAACACCGUCGCUUAAGGCUUUGUUUGGGAGUUGGGUUUUGGAGGGGAGGGGAGGGAAAGGAAAGGUUUGUGAGUGCUAAACCCUUGUUUGUGAGUUUUAAAAAAACAAGGGAAAGGUUUUGGGGGGUUUUGAAGGGGUUAAUUUGUCCAAUUUUAGAGUUCCCCCAAUUUGGGGGGGUUUUGGAGGGUUAAAGAUGCAAAUUGACCAUAUUACCCUUACAAUAAUACAAAAUUCCAAUUUUAGCCCUAACCUAAUUUCAUCUCAUUCUAACGAUUCAUUUCACUGUAACUGUGCACGCUCUCUCUUCUCCCGACGGCGACGUGAAUGGCGAUCUCAACCUGAACGGCGGCGAACGGCGGCGAGCGGCGGAGAAGGAAGCUGAACAACACAGUUUCCUUCAUCUCUCUCGAUCCUCUUUCUUCUGGUAUCAAUCUCAAACUAUCUUCCAUUCUUUUCCAAUUUCUUUUCCUUUUGCUAUUUCAUUCAUGAAUUGAUUUAUGUUUUGUUGUUUGAUUCACGAUUUGAUUUAUGUUUUUGUGUUUGAUUCACAAUUUGAUUUCUGUUUUGCUAUUUGAUUUUUUAGAGUGAAUCAUAUCUACUCAAUGGAUACUGUAUAAUCACUAUUAUUAUGAUUUCACUAUUAUUAUAAAUAAAUGUUGUUUGUUUCACAAAAAUGUAUUAUUUUGUGUUGGAUUCAGUUUAAAUGGAUCAUGAAAUGGCUCGUCAAACAAUUAUGGAAUUGAUUAGAUGGAGAGCAAGACUUCGAAUGACACUUGUUCAUGUCAUACGUCUUAUAGUUUGUUACUAUAGGAUUAAAAUCCAUUCUCAAAGUAGGAUAGUUGAUCGUAGUUUGACUCUUGAGAAGGAUAGAGUACGCAAUAAGAUAAUGAAUAUAGUUGCUACUAGUGAAGGUCGGAAGAUAAUAAGAAUGAGUCCUAAGGCGUUUUUGGAUUUAUGCUCUAUAUUACAACAAGAGGGUGGUCUUCUACCAACACAAAGGGUAACCGUAGAGGAACAAGUUGCUAAAACUCUUUACCUUCUAACACACAAUGUUAGAAAUAGAGAGAUUCAAUUCUGGUUCCGACGCUCUGGCGAAACUACUAGUCGUCAUUUUCAUCGGGUGCUCCGAUCAAUAAUUGAGAUAGGGCGUACCUAUCUCAAACAACCAGAUGGAUCACGCAUUCCGGUAGAAAUUCUUGGAAAUCAUCGAUUUUACCCCUACUUUAAGGAUUGCGUUGGAGCAAUUGAUUGUACACAUGUUCGUGUAAAAGUACCAUUGGCUGAAGCUUCAAGGUAUCGUGGUAGGAAAAGUUUUCCUACACAAAAUGUGUUGUGUAACACCCUCUUUGAAUUAUUUGAUUUAUUUAAUUAUUUAAUUGAGUCUAAAAUUUAUUAAAAAGAGUUUAAAAUAUAUUUAUUUGAUUAUGUGAUUUAUUAAGUGGCUUAUGUUGUUAUUUAAUAGAUUAAGAUUUGAAAAUAGAAAUAAGAUUGAGUUGAGAGUUUGUUAUGAGAUUUUAGAGAGUUUUGGGGGAGAAAGAGAAAUAAGAUAAAAUAGAAAAAGGGUUAUAAAUAGGAGAAACCUAAUUUAGAAAAAACAUAACGUAGGAUCAAUUUUGGAGAAAAUGGAGAAAAAGCCGAGAGGAGGGAGAAGACCUAGGAGUGCUGCGAUUUUCAUCUAUAAGGUAAGGGUGGGACUAACAUUCAAUAAUCUUAAGUCAUUGAUUCUGAAAAUUGGAUUUAACAUGUUGUAGGUUUUAGUUUUUGAGAAUUUGGGAAUUAGGGUUAAAAGUGAUUAUUUGAUGAUUUUCUAAAAUAAUGUUUUGGGUCAAGUUUUAUAUGGUUUUGAGUCUUUUUUGAUGUAUAUAAAUGUUUAGACAAACUUUGGGAUCAAAUUUGGGCAUAGGGAAGUUAAAAUUGGGAUUUUGGGGUGAAAAGUGUGUUUUUUCCCGAGUUGCUCUCUGACAGCAUGUCCUGUUUCAUGUUCUUGCGUCAUUUUCAUACGUUUCUGUUUUCAAUUAGCCUUUGGUGUAAACAUGAAAGUUGUAGAUAAUUGUGUUAGCUUUACAGUGGCGUCGGUUUGACUUGAAAAUGAUUUUUGGUUUAUGAGUUAUGGUCAAAUUACUGCACGUAGGUCACAGUGAAUUUUUAUGAAUUUCAGCACAACUUUGUCCGAAUUUGAAAUGAAAACUGGUAUUGAUUGGUAAAGGAUUGGUCUUAGGUGUAAACACGAAAGUUGUAGGUAUAAAUUUUAGCUUUCUAUUGCCGUUGGUUUGACUUCAAAAGGAUUUAUAGAAUUUAAGUUAUGGUCAAAUUACUGAACGUAGGUCACAGUGAAUAAUUGAUUAUGAUUGAUGAAUUAGUAUAUGUAUGUAUAUGUUGUGAAUCUGAUAUUGUCCAUGAUCGAUGAAGUGUUAUAUGUAUAUAUGAUGUUUUAAGAUGUUGAUUAUGAUUUGAUGUUGUUAUAUUGUGAUAUAAUUGUAUAUGCAUUACUUGAAUUAUAUGUGAAUAAUUGAGACGUUGUUGACUUGCAUUUGAUAUUAUUAUGUCAUGCUGUUUUUGUAUACUGUUGUGUUACUGUUGUUAUUUAACUAAGCUGCAUGAGCCGGUCUAAGUUGAUUAAGAUGAUGAAGUUCCAAAUUAUUGGAUUAUAUAAGAGGUUGUCGAUUUAAGAUAUUACGAGGUCGAGUCCAUGCAUUAGCAUUUCAUUGUUGGGGGCUUGAUGCCCUGGAGCCUUUGCUCAAUUAAGUUGAGGGCUUGAUGCCCUGGGAGCCUUUUUACGCUCAAAUAAAGUUGAGGGCUUGAUGCCCUGGGAGCCUAUUUACGCUCAAAGAUUGGUACCACAUGCAUGAUUAGAAGAUUAAGUUGCAUAGUCAAGAGGUUAAGUUGUCAGGUUGUCAAGUUAUCAAGUUGUCGAGUUGUUAAAUCAUGAAAUUGUUUAAAGCUGUGAUUCUUUAUAUAAACUAUUAAAGAAGUGAAUUAUGAUAUAUUAUUAUCUAUGAUGAAUAUUAUGAUGAUUACAUGAUGUUGUCUAUGAGUUGUUAAAUAUGAUUGAUGAUGCUUAUGUUGUUAAAUGUAAUUGAUGAAUUAUAUGCUUAAUAUUAUUAUUUGUGAAAUCUCACCCCUUCUGUUUGCCCACCAUGGGUAACUAACAGGUAACCAAGAAUAGUUGAUGUCGUGUGAGCUUUCCUUCUCGUGUGUCUUAGGUGCUCUGAUACGUAACGGGAUGGGAACUUUGUUAUCGCUUUUCUAUUCCUUACGUAUUGUUUUUGAAGAUUUAUGACUAUGUUUUUAGAUUGGAUUUUUAUGAGACAUUUAUGAAGAGGCCUUCGUGCCAAAGACUGUUUUAGUUAUUGAAAUAAAUUCCGCUGCGAAGUAUUAAAGAUCUUGUAUUUAAUUUUAAAGGAUAAAUAAUUAUUUAUUCAGUUUAUGAUUUUAAGAAAAGAAUGUGACAUUCCGUUUAUGUUGAAAAACUCUGAUUAUUUAUGCGAAAUUUUUAUGUUGGGAAAACGGGGUGUUACAUGUUGGUCGCAUGUUCUUUUGAUCUUAAGUUCACUUAUGUUUUGCCUGGAUGGGAGGGUACUGCUUCUGAUUCUAGGAUAUUAAAACAUGCACUACAGAGAAGAAAUGGUCUCAAAAUACCUAGAGGUAGUUAAAACUUAUUGUUAUCAUUUUCCCUUUUUUUCCGCUUCUUUUUCUUAUGUAUGUUGGUAAUAAUUAUUUGCUUUUAGGUAAGUUUUAUAUUCUUGAUGCUGGAUUCAUGUUGAGAAAGGGGCUAAUUACACCGUUUAGAUCAACACGUUAUCAUUUGAAAGAAUUCUCAGCCAUAAAUCCCCCUAGAACAGCUCAAGAGUUAUUCAACCUUCGACAUUCAUCGUUGCGUAAUGUUGUUGAAAGGGCUUUUGGGAUUGUGAAGAAAAGAUUUCCUAUCAUUUCAAGUGGCGCUGAAGCAACUUAUGGAAUCGAUACUCAAAAUUAUAUUAUCCUUGCAUGUUGCAUUUUGCAUAAUUUCUUGAUGGGGGUAGAUCCUGAUGAAGACUUGAUUGCUGAGGUAGACGAAGAAAUCGCCAAUCAAAGUGCAUCUCAAACUGGUCAUGGCCAUAUAGAAGUAGAUGAGGAUGAAGAACAUUCGCAUUUAGGUCAAAAUUUUAGAAAUUCUAUACUUGGUGCCAUGUGGACCAAUUACCUAUCAUAUCAUAGUAGAUGAUAAUGAAUUACUUAGCUAUUAUUCAGUGUGUAUGUUUCCAAAUAGCUAUUGCCAAAAAUAUUGGAAACUUGUUUGUUCAAAAUAUUCUAUAAUUUGUAGCUUUAAGUGGAAGAAUGUGUGUUGUUAUUGUUUCUAAAUAUUGGAAACUUGUUUGAAACUUGGAUAUUGAUGUUCCUGAUAAAUUGAAUAAACAUACUAUUUGUUGCAACUGUUAUUCCAAGAGUCACCAAAGAAAGGUAUACAUGAGUUCAUCUCAAAUUUAUCUAUAAAUUUAUAUGAUGAUUUUAUAAUAUGAUAUCUUUUCUUCUAAUAUAACAGAAUCAUGUCUACCUCUAAAAGAGAGACGUGGACAACAGAGAUGAACAAUGCUCUUAUUGAUGCCUUUGUUCAUCAAGUAAGUGCGGGAAACAAACAAGGUGGGACCUUUACAUCAAUAGCAUACACCAAUAUAACAAAGGAGAUGUCCGAAAAGUUUCAAAGACCUUUUGACAAGGAAAAGGUGAAAGAUAGAUGGAAAUUGGUGAAAAGAAAUUUUACUAAAUGUCAUGACAUUUUCAAUGGCAUGAGCGGUUUUGCUUGGAAAUCAGACACACAUAUGUGGGAUGCUUUACCUGAAGUUUGGAAAACAUUAAUUGAGGUACAUACUUAUAACUUACAUUAAUUGAGUUGUUGGGUUUGCUUGCUUAUAUAUAUGGCCUGAACCUAUGUCAGCAUGUGCACUUAUUUGAAUUGUAUAACUUAUUUGAUGGGAACUUAUUUGAAUGCAUAUUAGCAUGUUCUGAAGCUUUAUAACAUCAUUUUUUAUAAUUUUUUUUUAUAGGCAAAACCUGAAGCUGCACAAUGGAUGAACAAACCUUUUGUUAAUUAUGACAAAUUGGUUAUUGCUUGUGGAGAUGAAAGGGCCACUGGAGGAAAGGUUAUGAAUGAUGAAGAUAUUCGCCAAAAUCAUCCCCUCAAUCGUGAGUCAGAAUCCAUUGGUACUAGUGACCAGGUGACACUAGAGAGUUUGCAAGAGGGCGGCAAUGAGCAGGAUGUCACUUCUCCUGAGGUCCAAAUUCCCCCAGAACCUAGAGCCAAAAGAUCUAGAAAGUCCCGAGAUGAAGAUGAAGUUGAAGGGAUAAAAGCUGCCCUUUUGAACGUUGCUGAUGCUUUUAGAGAGAGUACUGCAUCUCAUGAUAAGUAUUUUAAAGACAGCAUUGCAGCUUAUGAGAAAGCUAAUUUAAAACUUCCAAUUUCAGAAGAAGAAGUUUUUAAACUUCUUGAGGAAUUGCAAGUGGAUAGUUGUUAUACCCUGUUUUUGGACCUAAAAAUACUGGGCCUAAUUUCAUUUCAAACUUUGUCAAAUGUCAAAUUUCAACUGCACAGUUCAAUUUGUCUCUGCUACGCAGUGUUUUCAAUCACAUUUUUACCUAUGUUUUUCUUGCAUAAGACCUUUCAAGAUGUCUUUACUUGUCUUGUAAGUCAUUUAAAAGUGUCUCUGAAUCAUUACAUUGCUUUUUCUACAAGUUUAUUUCAAAAUUUGCAAAAAGUCAUACAGAAGGGUAUUUUGGUCAUUUCCUGCAGUGGGACCCAUUUUCAUCCUUGUGACUGUUUCUGAGUCUUUUCAAAUUCAUUUUUAACAUUUCAUCAGUAAACCCUGUUUAAAUUCAUUUCAAAUUCGCGUCUGAGUCAGUGUCAGGUCAAUUUGAAUCUGUUUAGGUCGUUUUUAGCCCUAGGGGCAUUUUGGUCAUUUCACACGAAAUUUUGGCAUGGGGAGGUUACUUUGAAGUACCUCAUUUAGGCCAUUGGUUCGUUUUAGUCCGUUUUGUCAAUUUUAUUUGUGUUUCGCUUUACGUUUGGUCAAAUUACCAAUUUUAUUUUAAUUUUUAGUGUUUUUAUUAUUUUUGCAUUUUUGUCCUCAAAGAGUUCCAAAAUUGCAGUUCAGUCCACCUUUUUUUAAUUUUCAUUUCAGUCUUUUUUGUCAAAUUGCAGUUUAGUCCUUGAAGUUUUAUUUUUUGCAGAAAAGUCCAAAGUUCAUUUUUCAGGUCCAGGCCGUGCCAUUUCCAUACAAAUCCAGGUGUCACAUUUUCAUUGGCUCAAGUGUACACAUGUCAACUAUAUAACCAUUGAGUCAGAAUCAAAGCCAUUGAUCACACGCCACUUCACCAAAACAGAUUCAAUUUUUCUCUUUCUUGUCAGUUAGAUCAAACCAAGAAAAUCACAGAGAAAUCACCAAGAACACAAGAACCCUAAGAUUUCCAGAACCAAAUUCAUACACAAAUUCAUUGAUUUUCACAUCAAUCCUCAGAGAUUCGUGUGAAUCUUCAUCACCGGAUUGAAGAUUUCCCCUACAAUUCAAAGUGCGAGCUCACAUUGAAGCAAGCUCAAGCACUGAUCAUAGGGAUUUUUCACGCAGAUUCAAAAAACGUUGAAGCAAGCUCAAGCACGUAAUCACAGAGAAGCAGAGAAAGAAUCAGAGAAGAUGAAGAUGAACCGGUAAACCGAUUUAUUUUCGGUCCAAAAGCAAGCAAAAUCAUCAAAACCGUCAAGAACAUUCAAGUUUUUCCCAAAGGUUUUCCUCCAUUAAAGGUUUCAACCAAAACCUUAGGUAAAACUCAUACUCUUUUUCAAAAGCAAUAUCACUGUUAAACCUAAAAAUCACGCAAGCAAAACAGAUCCAAAGGUUCCAGAAUUCAAAGAAAACCAUAACCGUAAACAUCAAAAUCUAGAUCCGUAAGGAUCAACGUUUUGAAAGCGAAAACAGGCGUCAAAAAGUAAUCAAACGACGAAACGAUGUAGAUCUUUAAGGAUCUAAAUGAUCUCAUUCAAAAAAAUCAAAAAUCAUUUCAAAACCGUAAAAGCUUUUUCAAGAUCUACGUCGUUCCAAGCCGUUUUCAAAAAAACAAAUGCCGGAUUCGUGUUUAGGGUAAGAAGGCGAAUCGUUUGAUGUAGAAACUUUGAAGUUCUGGAAAAUUAGGUCGCCGGAGUGGUUUAGGCGCGCCGGAGAAGAUGAAGCUUCCGGCGGACCUUCAAGGUCUCCGCCGUGGCUUCAUCCUCACCGGCGGUGAGGGUUUAGAGAGAGAUGAGAGAAGAGAGAAGAGUUAGAGAGAGAAAGGUGUGUGACAAAUGAAAAAACCGGCGCGUUAGGGUUUUAUAUAGGGCGCUAGACCGGACCGGUUCAAGACCGGUCCAAUCCCCUGCGUAGUGAGCCCUUAGAUCUAGGGUUUGGGACCUUGGAUCAAUCCAACGGUCCCUGAGUAUCCCUGGGAGAUCCGUUUCCUCUGGUUUUGGGCUGGGCCUUCUGUUGUACGUUUUUUUGCUUCUUUUGCUGCUUGCACCAUUUUCUUUGCUAUUUGCACCUGUGGCCUGCUCAUUCUUGUUUACAAAAUUUCUAAAAAAAAUCCUAGUUGUUUCUUGGUACAUUUUUGGCAUUUUUAUGGUGUUUUCCUGCAUGUAAAAAAUAUCAAAAUGGCAUGAACAAAUUUCCAUGUGUUUUUACACUUUUGGUAUACUUUUUGCUAUGUUUUUGUUCUUGAUACUUUGAUAUGUGUUAUGAAUAAAUGAUACCAUAUCUUAUGAUGAAUAUGCCUCUGGACAUGUGCUUCUUUUUGCUGUUUUGAAUAUGAUUUUAUGGAUUUCUUGUUUUACAAGCAACAAAUGUUUGUUUUAGAGAAUAAAGUGUCAAAUUUCUCUAUGAAUUUGGUGUGAUACCUUGCUUGCAUAUGUUUCCAUUAAUUUCAUGUCAUGGCUUGAAACCAAAUUUCUUGCAAAAUUGCCAUGAUGUGAUGAUUAUGGGUUGCAAGCACCUUUAGGUAUCACAUCAAAGUUUUUAGGUUCAUUGCCACUUUAUUACCUUUUCUUUGCCAUUUUUAUGCAUUUCCUUUUGAUUACUUCCUACUAUUGUGUGCUUUAUGAUUACUAACCAUUUCAUCUCAUGUGCCAUACCUUUCAUAGCAUUCCACCACUCUCUCCACUUUCUUUAGCUUAGCAUUUAUUUUAUUUUUUUACAAGUUUUAAUUCAUUUGGUAAUGUAAUUUGUUAUCAUUGGUUUGUAGCUUGGCAAAGGGGCCAUAGAAUGUAUUUAGGCAAUUUUUGUAAUAUGGACUAUGGACACUAUGGCGCACCGACACGCACACACUCACCUUAGAUGUAUGCAUAGGAUUGUAUGGUUAGACAAGCGUUUAGGUUUUAAACCCUUAGAGAAAAUCCAUCCUUUUUCCAAAAAAAACAAUUGAACUUCACUUCAAAAAUUUUCAUAAUAAAUAUGAAGUCAACACUUCAUUUUUUUCCUUUCUUUUUUUCUUAAGAAAAAUUCAAUCCAUCUUAAUCAUUUAGACUUCCUUUCUAAUCACUAAUCAAACCUCGCUUUUUUUGCUAAAUCUAAUGCUCAUGAAGCCUCCCAAUCUCCUUCUUCAAAACCUUUUUUUUCAAAACUUAAAAUCAAACAAUUAAAACAAAAACAAGUCUUUUUAGCAAGAACUACGAACGGUUUUGAUCCCUUAAAAGGGUACGUAGGCAAUGAGUCAAAACUCAUCCAAGCCGAAAUAAAAUCCAAUUCUACUUCUUCUCUCCCCCAUUCUUAACUAAAUAAACCUCCCAUUUUCAAAAAGUAAGUAAAAAUAAGCGUAGAAAUUAACUUAGGAAAACGGCUCCUAUAGAGGACUAUAGUUACUCCGGGUGCCUAACACCUUCCCGUAGUAAAACCGACCCCCGAACUUAGAAUCUAAGGGUUUUUUCUCAAUUUUUCCCUUCCCGAGAAAAAAGAGAGAUAUCAACGGUCAAAAGGUUCAAGUCCAAUUAAUGGCUUGGCACCCAAAAACCAUGAUAACAGAAAUGGCGACUUCACUGGGGAAAUAAGUUAGCGGGUCGCGCCUAGUUUUCCUUAGUUUAUAUUUAUGUUUUAUUUUAUUGCUUACAUAUGUGAAUAUUUGUUUGCUUUCAUUUGACGUGUGGGGUGAGAAUAUCAAAAGUCCUAUACCCGGGCUGAGUGAACUUAUGUUUAGGGAGAGAUAUAAUCGACAAUUCGAUCCGGGGGUUGCCUCGUGUAUUGGAUUAUGCGAUCAAUCUCACAUAGCUGAGGCAUUUUGAAGGUGAUAUUGUCGGCGUGUGUUGUCAUGCUUAGGCACUUCACUUUCAAUUGUUCGACGAAGCUAUGAACCGUAGUUACCAAACCCAUCCUAGCCUUUUUAGGACGUAGUGCGGUGGCUAAAUUGAGUGUUGUCUCAAACUUUAGUCGUCACGCGAUACUACACUCAAACUAGACCUUCUCACAAAUAAUCAUGGAACGGGUGUCGUCCUGUACUACCAUGAUAUAUGUGAGAGAGGUUGCAGUUUGGGAACUGUGUUAGAACCUUGGUUACUACUAUCCAGAGCCUUAGUUCACCGGGCGCCGUGUCCAUCCGUUACUUUGAACCUCAACCCACAUUGUAACUAAACAACGCAAUCAUGCAUACAUGCAUUCAUGCAUAAACAUUUUUUCAUGCAUUCAUCGAAGGGUUUUAAACAAAUGGAAAUUUUUGUAAAUAAUCACAGGUAUGAAGAAGACUAAGUGCUACAAGUUCAAGGAAGUGGAUUUGGUUAGUGUGAGAGAGUUAGCUCUCAAGGUCAAGAGUCAAACAGGGUUCCGACUCCGGUAUGGGGGAUUGCUUACUUUGCUCCGAACCGAUGUGGAUGAGAAGCUAGUGCACACUCUAGUGCAAUUUUAUGAUCCGAGCUUCCGUUGCUUCACUUUCCCGGACUUCCAGUUGGUUCCUACUCUCGAGGCUUACUCCAAUCUAGUGGGUCUGCCUAUAGCCGAGAAGACGCCUUUCACCGGUCCCGGGGCUUCUCUUACUCCUCUGGUUAUUGCUAAGGAUCUCUACCUCAAGACUUCCGACGUCUCCAACCAUCUUAUUACCAAGUCUCACAUCCGGGGUUUCACUUCGAAGUAUCUUCUUGAUCAGGCUAAUCUCGGUACUACUCGUCAGGACACACUCGAGGCUAUUCUUGCUUUGCUUAUCUACGGGCUCAUUCUCUUCCCGAACCUCGACAACUUCGUGGACAUGAAUGCUAUCGAGAUCUUUCAUUCCAAGAACCCGGUUCCUACUUUGCUAGCGGAUACCUACCACGCCAUCCAUGAUAGGACUCUCAAGGGCCGUGGGUAUAUUCUUUGCUGCACAUCUCUUUUGUAUAGGUGGUUUAUUUCGCACCUUCCGAGUUCCUUCCAUGAUAACUCGGAAAAUUGGUCCUACUCUCAGCGGAUUAUGGCUCUCACUCCUAAUGAGGUCGUCUGGCUCACUCCCGCCGCUCAAGCCAAGGAAAUCAUCAUGGGUUGUGGAGACUUUCUCAAUGUACCUCUUCUUGGUACCCGUGGAGGAAUCAACUACAACCCCGAGCUUGCUAUGAGACAGUUUGGUUUCCCUAUGAAGUCGAAGCCCAUCAAUCUUGCUACAUCUCCAGAGUUCUUCUUCUAUGCGAAUGCUCCUACCGGACAAAGGAAAGCUUUCAUAGAUGCUUGGUCCAAGGUUCGAAGGAAGAGUGUGAAGCAUCUAGGUGUGAGAUCUGGUGUCGCUCAUGAGGCCUAUACUCAGUGGGUGAUAGAUCGAGCUGAGGAGAUUGGUAUGCCUUAUCCAGCUAUGAGAUACGUGUCUUCGUCUACUCCAUCUAUGCCUCUACCUCUACUCCCCGCGACUCAGGAUAUGUAUCAGGAGCAUCUAGCUAUGGAGAGUCGUGAGAAGCAAGUGUGGAAAGCUCGGUACAAUCAAGCCGAGAAUCUAAUCAUGACUUUGGAUGGUAGAGAUGAGCAGAAGACUCAUGAGAAUCUGAUGUUGAAGAAAGAGCUAGCUAAGGCCCGGAGGGAACUAGAAGAGAAAGACGAGCUGCUUAUGAGGGAUUCCAAGAGAGCCCGAGGACGACGAGACUUCUUUGACAGAUACUGCGAUUCAGAUUCCGAGUCCGAUGAUCUUCCGACUACUUCCUAUGCUUGAGAGCUUUAUUUGUUUACUUUGUUGAAAAUGUUGUGUAAUUUUGAUUAUUUGCAAGAUUUCUAAUUUAUUUUAAAAUCCUUCGAUGAAAAAAAUAAGUCUUUUGCAUUCGCAUUUGCAUAUCAUGCAUCAUGUGCAUCAUACAUUGGUCACAAAGGCUUCCAAGUGCUCACUAUCUCCUGGUUCCUCUGCCGCAGUGUGAAAAGUGGCUCGUGCUCAGAGAGUUUACGAACCAGAUAGAACUGAUCGAACCAGAGAAUACAGAAGAAAGAAAAGGGCUAUGGAAGAAGAGAACGCUCAGCUUCGCACCGAGGUAGCCUCUCUAAAGGAGGAAUUGGCUAAAGCUAAUGACGUCAUGACUGCUCUACUAGCUGCUCAAGAGCAAUCAGCUACAGCUAUCCCUACAACCACAGCUGCACCAGUAACUACAAGCGUGCUCCCUACCACUUCUGCAGACAAUCGCUUUACUAUGCCAGUGGGGUUUCCGUAUGGGCUUCCACCGUUCUUCACUCCCGUUGCUACAGCAAGCACCUCGGGCACUGCUAACAAUGUUCUGAUCCCUGCAACAAAUGCCGCCUCCAUCAUUGCUACUUUGCCACAAACAACAGCAGCUGUCACUGAGCCUCUGGUACACACUCUGCCUCAAGGUAUUAACACCAACACACAGCACAGAAGCAUCCCCGUAACCAAGACUAUGGAAGAGAUGAUGGAGGAACUUGCUAAAGAACUCCGUCACGAAAUCCAGGCCAAUCGAGGGAGUGCAGACUCUGUCAAAACUCAAGACCUUUGCUUAGUGUCAAAAGUGGAUGUCCCUAAAAAGUUCAAGAUUCCGGACUUCGACCGGUACAACGGGCUAACUUGUCCUCAAAAUCACAUCAUCAAAUACGUCCGGAAGAUGGGCAAUUACAAAGACAAUGAUUCCCUUAUGAUCCACUGUUUUCAAGAUAGUCUGAUGGAGGAUGCCGCAGAGUGGUAUACUAGUUUGAGUAAGAAUGACAUCCAUACCUUUGAUGAGUUAGCCACCGCUUUCAAGAGCCAUUAUGGGUUUAACACUCGACUGAGGCCAAAUAGGGAGUUUCUCAGGUCCCUAUCUCAGAAGAAGGAGGAAAGUUUCCGUGAAUAUGCGCAAAGGUGGAGAGGGGCGGCUGCCCGUAUCACUCCUGCUUUAGAUGAGGAAGAAAUGACCCAGACAUUCUUAAAGACCUUGAAGAAAGAUUAUGUUGAGAGGAUGAUCAUCGCUGCCCCGAACAACUUUUCGGAGAUGGUCACUAUGGGAACCCGUCUUGAGGAAGCCGUCAGGGAUGGAAUCAUUGUGUUUGAGAAAGCUGAAUCUUCUACGAGUGCCUCGAAGAGGUAUGGUAAUGGACACCACAAGAAAAAAGAAACGGAAGUGGGGAUGGUGUCAGCUGGAGCCGGUCAAUCAAUGGCUACUGUUGCUCCCAUCAAUGCAGCUCAAAUGCCUCCGCCAUACCCAUAUAUGCCGUAUUCUCAGCAUCCUUUCUUCCCGCCAUUUUAUCAUCAGUACCCUCUGCCACCGGGUCAACCUCAAGUGCCCGUCAAUGCAAUUGCUCAACAGAUGAAACAACAGAUGCCGGUUCAACAACAACAACAAAAUCAGCAAGCUAGGCCUACUUUCCCUCCGAUACCGAUGUUAUAUGCUGAGUUGCUUCCAACUUUACUCCAGAGAGGGCAUUGUACAACUAGACAGGGUAAACCCCCACCGGACCCGUUGCCUCCAAGGUUCAGGUCUGAUCUCAAAUGCGACUUUCAUCAAGGUGCCCUAGGUCAUGAUGUCGAGGGGUGUUAUGCUUUGAAGUAUAUCGUGAAGAAGCUCAUUGAUCAGGGAAAGCUGACUUUUGAGAAUAAUGUUCCACAUGUCCUUGACAAUCCUCUUCCAAAUCAUGCCGCUGUGAAUAUGAUUGAAGUGUGUGAGGAAGUUCCUAGACUUGAUGUCCGCAACGUCGCAACUCCUCUGGUACCUCUACACAUCAAGCUGUGCAAAGCUUCUCUGUUUAAUCAUGAUCAUGCCAAGUGUCUGGGAUGUCUCCGUGAUCCUUUGGGUUGCUAUACUGUUCAAGACGACAUCCAAAGCUUGAUGAAUGAUAAUCUUCUGACUGUCAGUGAUGUUUGCGUGAUUGUGCCGGUCUUUCACGAUCCGCCUGUCAAGAGUGUACCUUUGAAGAAGAAUGCUGAGCCUUUGGUGAUAAGGUUGCCAGGACCAAUUCCUUAUGUUUCGGACAAAGCAGUGCCAUACAAGUACAAUGCUACUAUGAUAGAAAAUGGAGUAGAGGUGCCUCUAGCCUCGUUUGCCACAGUAAGCAAUAUUGCCGAAGGGACUUCUGCAGCGCUAAGAAGCGGGAAGGUCCGUCCGCCGUUAUUUCAGAAGAAGGUAGCUACGCCGACCAUUCCACCAGUUGAAGAAGCAACUCCAACCGUUGUUUCACCCAUUGCUACAGAUGUGAACCAGUCAGGCAAGUCUAUUGAGGAUUCGAAUUUAGAUGAGAUUCUGAGAAUAAUAAAGAGGAGCGACUACAAGAUCGUUGAUCAGUUGCUGCAGACUCCUUCGAAGAUAUCUGUCUUGUCAUUACUCUUAAGCUCUGAGGCUCACAGGAAUACUUUGUUGAAAGUGCUGGAGCAGGCUUAUGUUGACCACGAAGUUACGGUAGAUCGUUUCGGUGGCAUAGUGGGAAAUAUUACUGCUUACAACAACCUCUGGUUUAGUGAAGAAGAGUUGCCGGAAGUGGGAAAGAGUCACAAUCUGGCUUUACACAUCUCGGUGAAUUGUAAAUCAGACAUGAUAUCAAAUGUGUUGGUGGAUACCGGUUCCUCUCUCAAUGUAAUGCCCAAGACGACUCUAGAUCAGUUGAGCUACCGUGGGACCCCGUUGAGGAGAAGUACUUUCUUGGUCAAAGCUUUUGAUGGAUCUCGAAAGAAUGUGCUGGGAGAGAUAGACUUGCCGAUAACCAUUGGCCCUGAGAAUUUCUUGGUUACUUUCCAAGUGAUGGACAUUAAUGCAUCCUACAGUUGCCUGCUGGGAAGACCGUGGAUACACGAUGCAGGUGCGGUAACCUCUACCUUACAUCAGAAGUUGAAAUUCAUAAGGAAUGGAAAGCUUGUUACCAUUCAUGGUGAAGAGGCAUACUUAGUUAGCCAGCUAUCUUCCUUUUCUUGUAUUGAAGCAGGGUCUGCUGAAGGGACUGCUUUCCAAGGAUUGACCAUUGAAGGUGCGGAGCCUAAGAAAGCUGGGACUGCUAUGGCUUCAUUGAAAGAUGCUCAGAAGGUUAUUCAGGACGGUCAGACUGCCGGUUGGGGCAAGGUGAUACAGCUCUGUGAGAACAAGCGUAAAGAAGGUCUCGGGUUCUCCCCGUCAUCAAGGGUUUCCUCGGGAGUCUUCCACAGUGCAGGGUUUGUUAAUGCUAUCUCUGAAGAAGCCACUGGAUCUGGUCUCAGGCCUGUAUUUGUUACACCAGGAGGCAUUGCGACAAAUUGGGAUGCCAUUGACAUUCCUUCAAUCAUGCAUGUUUCUAAGUAAUGUGUCUUGUUGCUUUAAUGCUUUGUUUUCAAAAUAACAAUCCUCUCGCUCUGCCCAAAGCGAGAGUGAUAUUUUCUGUAAGGGCAUGUUUGUUUCGGCAUUGCCGUUGAUUAAUAAAAUUUUGUCGUUUCUUCCACGACUACUUUUUUUUUAGUGCUUUUUUUUUCCCUUGGAAACAAUGGUAAUGCCAGAAAAAACCAAAACGUCUGUAUUUUCUUAUUAAUUUCAAAAAUCUGCAUGAAAAAAAAAAAAACCAUUUUCUAAAAUCAUCCAAUCAUUAUAUGCAGGUUGAACCAUAAUAAACCCGUUGAACACAGUAGUCCUACGGUUCCUCCAAGUUUUGAAUUCCCCGUGUAUGAAGCCGAAGAUGAGGAAGGUGAUGACAUACCAUAUGAGAUUACUCGGUUACUUGAGCAAGAAAAGAAAGCCAUUCAACCUCAUCAGGAAGAGAUUGAGCUUAUUAACAUAGGUACCGAGGAAAACAAGCGAGAAAUCAAGAUUGGUGCUACUCUAGAGGAAGGGGUUAAACAGAAGAUCAUCCGACUCCUCCGGGAAUAUCCGGAUAUUUUUGCAUGGUCCUAUGAAGAUAUGCCAGGUCUAGACCCUAUGAUUGUGGAGCAUCGGAUCCCUACCAAGCCUGAAUGUCCUCCCGUCAGGCAGAAAUUGAGAAGGACUCAUCCUGAUAUGGCUCUCAAGAUCAAGAAUGAAGUUCAAAAGCAGAUUGAUGCGGGUUUCCUCAUGACAGUUGAGUAUCCCGAAUGGGUUGCCAAUAUUGUGCCUGUGCCAAAGAAGGAUGGUAAAGUUCGGAUGUGUGUUGACUUCAGAGACCUGAACAAGGCCAGUCCAAAAGACAACUUUCCAUUACCUCAUAUUGAUGUGCUUGUUGAUAAUACUGCUCAAUCUAAGGUGUUCUCCUUCAUGGACGGUUUUUCCGGUUAUAAUCAGAUCAAGAUGUCUCCUGAAGACAGAGAAAAGACGUCUUUUAUCACUCCAUGGGGUACUUUCUGCUACAAAGUGAUGCCGUUCGGCCUAAUCAAUGCUGGUGCUACCUACCAAAGGGGAAUGACCACUCUGUUUCAUGACAUGAUUCACAAAGAAGUUGAGGUAUAUGUGGAUGACAUGAUUGUGAAGUCAGCAGAUGAGGAGCAGCAUGUUGAAUAUUUAACAAAGAUGUUUGAAAGGUUGAGAAAAUACAAGCUGCGAUUGAAUCCCAACAAAUGUACAUUCGGUGUCAGGUCUGGAAAGUUAUUAGGCUUCAUUGUCAGCCAAAAGGGCAUUGAAGUCGAUCCUGAUAAAGUCCGGGCCAUCCGAGAAAUGCCGGCUCCACAGACAGAGAAGCAAGUCAGAGGUUUCUUGGGACGUUUGAAUUACAUCUCCCGAUUCAUAUCUCAUAUGACUGCAACCUGCGGGCCGAUCUUCAAGCUACUUAGAAAGAACCAGCCUGUUGUAUGGAAUGAUGAAUGCCAAGAAGCUUUUGAUAGCAUCAAGAAUUACCUGCUGGAACCACCUAUCCUUGUCCCACCCGUGGAAGGAAGGCCUUUGAUUAUGUAUUUGGCAGUAUUUGAUGAAUCCAUGGGAUGCGUGCUUGGUCAACAAGAUGAAACUGGAAAGAAAGAGCAUGCUAUCUACUAUCUAAGCAAGAAGUUCACCGAUUGUGAAACUCGGUAUACAAUGCUUGAGAAGACUUGUUGUGCUCUAGCUUGGGCUGCCAAACGCCUGCGUCAUUAUUUGGUGAAUCAUACAACUUGGUUGAUAUCCAGAAUGGAUCCGAUUAAGUAUAUCUUUGAGAAAGCUGCUGUUACUGGAAAGAUCGCACGAUGGCAGAUGCUUUUGUCUGAAUAUGAUAUUGUGUUCAAAACUCAGAAGGCAAUCAAAGGUAGCAUUCUUGCCGAUCAUCUUGCUUAUCAACCUCUUGAUGAUUACCAACCAAUUGAAUUCGACUUCCCAGAUGAAGAGAUCAUGUAUUUGAAAUCCAAAGACUGCGAAGAACCGUUGAUUAAUGAAGGUCCAGAUCCCAAUAGCAAGUGGGGUUUAGUCUUUGAUGGUGCUGUCAAUGCUUAUGGUAAGGGAAUUGGGGCAGUCAUUGUAUCCCCGCAGGGGCAUCACAUUCCUUUUACCGCCAGAAUCUUGUUCGAAUGUACCAACAAUAUGGCUGAGUAUGAAGCAUGUAUCUUUGGGAUCGAGGAAGCAAUUGACAUGAGAAUCAAACACCUCGACAUCUAUGGAGAUUCUGCGCUCGUCAUCAAUCAGAUAAAGGGUGAAUGGGAGACCCACCAUGCUAAUUUGAUUCCUUAUCGUGAUUAUGCGAGACGUUUGCUGACAUAUUUUACAAAGGUUGAGCUGCACCAUAUUCCUCGUGAUGAGAACCAAAUGGCUGAUGCUCUUGCUACUCUAUCCUCCAUGUUUCGAGUAAACCAUUGGAAUGAUGUGCCAAUAAUCAAAAUGCAACGCCUUGAAAGACCUUCACAUGUGUUUGCUAUUGGGGAUGUGAUCGAUCAGGCUGGUGAAAAUGUGGUUGACUAUAAACCCUGGUACUAUGACAUCAAGCAGUUCUUGCUGAGCCGUGAGUAUCCGCCGGGUGCUUCCAAACAAGAUAAGAAGACCCUGAGAAGAUUGGCCGGUAGAUUCCUGUUAGAUGGAAAUAUUCUGUACAAGAGGAACUAUGACAUGGUAUUGUUAAGGUGUGUUGAUGAACAUGAAGCAGAGCAGUUAAUGCAUGAUGUACAUGACGGUACCUUCGGGACCCAUGCUACAGGGCAUACUAUGUCAAGAAAGUUGUUACGAGCAGGUUAUUACUGGAUGGCCAUGGAGCAUGAUUGCUACCAAUACGCCAGGAAAUGCCACAAAUGUCAAAUCUAUGCUGAUAAGAUCCAUGUGCCUCCGCAUGCUCUCAAUGUUAUGUCAUCCCCAUGGCCGUUCUCAAUGUGGGGCAUUGACAUGAUUGGAAGAAUUGAACCGAAGGCUUCAAAUGGUCAUCGUUUCAUCUUAGUGGCAAUUGACUACUUCACCAAGUGGGUUGAAGCAGCAUCUUAUACCAAUGUGACCAAGCAAGUGGUAGCUAAGUUCAUCAAGAACAACAUCAUCUGUCGAUAUGGUGUUCCCAGCAAGAUUAUUACUGACAAUGGUACCAACCUGAACAACAAUGUGGUGCAAGCUCUUUGUGAAGAAUUCAAAAUUGAGCACCAUAACUCUUCUCCUUAUAGACCUCAGAUGAAUGGUGCAGUUGAGGCCGCCAACAAGAAUAUCAAGAGAAUUGUCCAGAAGAUGGUAACUACUUACAAGGACUGGCAUGAGAUGUUACCCUAUGCUCUGCAUGGCUACCGUACUACCGUGCGCAGUUCAACCGGGGCAACCCCUUUCUCUCUUGUAUAUGGUAUGGAAGCAGUUCUUCCUUUGGAAGUGGAGAUCCCAUCUCUCCGUGUGAUCAUGGAAGCAAAGUUAUCCGAGGCUGAAUGGUGCCAAAGCCGGUAUGAUCAGUUGAAUUUGAUUGAGGAAAAACGUAUGGAUGCCAUGGCUCGUGGACAGUCAUAUCAAGCAAGAAUGAAGACUGCUUUUGACAAGAAAGUUCAUCCUCGAGAAUUCAAGGUAGGGGAACUUGUAUUGAAAAGGAGAAUAAGCCAGCAACCCGACCCAAGGGGCAAGUGGACGCCUAACUAUGAAGGUCCUUAUGUUGUCAAGAAGGCCUUCUCUGGUGGUGCUUUAAUCCUUACACACAUGGAUGGUGUAGAACUUCCAAAUCCAGUGAAUGCCGAUAUAGUCAAGAAAUACUUUGCCUAGAAAUGUGAAAAGAACAGCGUGGUAGGUCGAAAACCCGAAAGGGCGGCCUAGGCAAAAAUGCGCUUCCCGGUGGAUCGAAAACCCGAAAGGGCGGUCCAGGCAAAAAUAAGGGACAAAAAAACAAAUAUGAAAAGCUCGCUGAGAUUGUACGCAACUCAGGCAAGAAUGAGCGUCUCGAUGAGCCGAAAACCCGGAAGGGCGGUUCAUGCAAAAAUGAGAUUGAAACAAAAGGCAAGUAACUAUAUCUGGCUAACCACCGUCCCCUUGGGGCAUCUGCAGCUGUUAAUAACCAUCUUCAUCAAAAGCUCCUAUGCUUGCGAAUUCAAAGUUUCCAGGAAAUGUCAUGAUUACUGUGUUCAAUGUAUCACCAACCAAUAAAAUUACCAUUUUCCAAGCUUUGUAAAUCCGUGGAGUCACGCCUUCGGCUGACUACCACUCUUAUACAUCAAAUUGAGCCUGUGCUUUUGUUUAAAAUUCUAUUUUCUUCUACUUUCAAAGCUAUAUACAAAACAUUUUCUUUCUAUUUUGAUAAUGACAAUGCUUGAAACAAACAUUUUUGAAAACUGAAAACUUUUUGUUUAUUUUGAAAAGCAAACCUGAGCAACAGGGUACAUUCAAAUGAAACAUGCAUGAGCGAGAGUAUGUUGGUGUCUAUUUCAAUAUAUGUUACCAGCAGGUUCUCCUCCAAGAUAAUCUGUGGUCAAUGGCAAGAAUGAAAAAACAGAAUGAAAAUGCAUGAAAAUUAAUGAGCUCGCUAAGUUGACAACCCGAAAGGGCAGUUCAGGCAAAAAUGGGGCAUUGAAAAGAACUUAUUUCCCCGGUGGAUCGAAAACCCGAAAGGGCGAUCCAGGCAAAAAUGGGAUGAAAAAAAAUGAUGAAUGAAAAUGAGAAUAUAACAUGCAAAAGCAUUGACCACAGAUGCAAUGUCUACAACAUACCCAGCGCUGAAAUGCCCAGCACAACGGCGUUUUCCCCGGUCGGGUCUUCCAAGAUUCUAUCCCCAGCAAGAUGCAUAGCUACCUGCCCUCAGCUAUGGUUCCGACACAUCUCCCAACGACGUCAUCUCCAAAGAGGAUUUCCAAGAAUGUGUAAUAUAGCACGAGCCACUACGUGCCCAAUACUCUGAUGUCUUGUCUUCCCCGUGAAGUCGUGCCUACAAAAUGCCAACAGUCAUGCAUUACAAGCAUUCAUACAUGCAUAAUCAUGCAUAUUACGUGCCCAUGCAUUUAAUGAAAUUGUUAUAUCAUCCAUGCAUAUUGCAUUUCCAAUGUCAACAUCAGUCUCAAUUCAAUACUCAUGUCAGGUUCUCUGUCAAAACCUUGUGAGCCAAUAAUAUCAGUCAAUUUUUACCUUUCAAUUCAAAUCGACGUCAAGUCAAUCUCAAUCUAUAUUUUGUCAACAAACCAAUCCCCAGUGAAUGUGUUUCUGUUUGGUCAAGUUACUAGUUCGCAUCCAAGAACGACUUGUACCCGUUUACUUUUCAAUGUUAUCGGUCGAGUGCCUAGCUCAAUCCAAGAGCAGCUUGUACCUGGCUAUCUGUUUCUGUCGGUGGAGUAACCAGUUCGCAUCCAAGAACAAGCUCGCACCUGUCUUUUUGCCUUGCUUUCAGUCGAGUAACCAGUUCGAAUCCUUAAGAACAACUCGUGCCUGCCAAUUUUACAUGUUUUCAGUCGAGUCACCAGUUCGAAUCCGUAAGAACAACUCGUACUUGCCAAUUUUCUUUUUUUUCCCAGUCGGGUCACCAGUUCAAAUCCAUAAGAACAACUCGCACUUUCCAAUAUACCCAAGUGAGUUACCAGUUCGAACCCAUAAGAACAACUCAUGUUUGUCCAAUAACCUCUAUCCCCUGUGGAGUUACCAGUUCGAAUCCAUAAGAACAACUCGCAGUUGUCUGUUUGUUUCAUUCCCGGUCAAGUGGCUAGUUUGAAUCCAAGAGCAGCUUGUACCUGUCCAACUUGUUUCUAGUUUCCCGUUACUCUGCUAUUCACUAUCUUUGUCAAUGUCUACCAAUCCCGCAAUGGAUACGACAUUUUUUGUUAAUUCCAAUCCCCAUGAGGUCUUGCAUUCAUAAUCCAAAUGAUGCAUGGCAUGCAUAUUAUUUGAAAAUGGGUAGGCGUAUUUUUACGUCCAAACACAGUGCAAAUGCUAAUAUUUAAGUAUCUUCGUCCUGUCAAGCCAAAGACUCCGUCUCUUGACUCUCCAGACAAAGAAACUUAAAUAGGGGCAGCUGUUAUACCCUGUUUUUGGACCUAAAAAUACUGGGCCUAAUUUCAUUUCAAACUUUGUCAAAUGUCAAAUUUCAACUGCACAGUUCAAUUUGUCUCUGCUACGCAGUGUUUUCAAUCACAUUUUUACCUAUGUUUUUCUUGCAUAAGACCUUUCAAGAUGUCUUUACUUGUCUUGUAAGUCAUUUAAAAGUGUCUCUGAAUCAUUACAUUGCUUUUUCUACAAGUUUAUUUCAAAAUUUGCAAAAAGUCAUACAGAAGGGUAUUUUGGUCAUUUCCUGCAGUGGGACCCAUUUUCAUCCUUGUGACUGUUUCUGAGUCUUUUCAAAUUCAUUUUUAACAUUUCAUCAGUAAACCCUGUUUAAAUUCAUUUCAAAUUCGCGUCUGAGUCAGUGUCAGGUCAAUUUGAAUCUGUUUAGGUCGUUUUUAGCCCUAGGGGCAUUUUGGUCAUUUCACACGAAAUUUUGGCAUGGGGAGGUUACUUUGAAGUACCUCAUUUAGGCCAUUGGUUCGUUUUAGUCCGUUUUGUCAAUUUUAUUUGUGUUUCGCUUUACGUUUGGUCAAAUUACCAAUUUUAUUUUAAUUUUUAGUGUUUUUAUUAUUUUUGCAUUUUUGUCCUCAAAGAGUUCCAAAAUUGCAGUUCAGUCCACCUUUUUUUAAUUUUCAUUUCAGUCUUUUUUGUCAAAUUGCAGUUUAGUCCUUGAAGUUUUAUUUUUUGCAGAAAAGUCCAAAGUUCAUUUUUCAGGUCCAGGCCGUGCCAUUUCCAUACAAAUCCAGGUGUCACAUUUUCAUUGGCUCAAGUGUACACAUGUCAACUAUAUAAGCAUUGAGUCAGAAUCAAAGCCAUUGAUCACACGCCACUUCACCAAAACAGAUUCAAUUUUUCUCUUUCUUGUCAGUUAGAUCAAACCAAGAAAAUCACAGAGAAAUCACCAAGAACACAAGAACCCUAAGAUUUCCAGAACCAAAUUCAUACACAAAUUCAUUGAUUUUCACAUCAAUCCUCAGAGAUUCGUGUGAAUCUUCAUCACCGGAUUGAAGAUUUCCCCUACAAUUCAAAGUGCGAGCUCACAUUGAAGCAAGCUCAAGCACUGAUCAUAGGGAUUUUUCACGCAGAUUCAAAAAACGUUGAAGCAAGCUCAAGCACGUAAUCACAGAGAAGCAGAGAAAGAAUCAGAGAAGAUGAAGAUGAACCGGUAAACCGAUUUAUUUUCGGUCCAAAAGCAAGCAAAAUCAUCAAAACCGUCAAGAACAUUCAAGUUUUUCCCAAAGGUUUUCCUCCAUUAAAGGUUUCAACCAAAACCUUAGGUAAAACUCAUACUCUUUUUCAAAAGCAAUAUCACUGUUAAACCUAAAAAUCACGCAAGCAAAACAGAUCCAAAGGUUCCAGAAUUCAAAGAAAACCAUAACCGUAAACAUCAAAAUCUAGAUCCGUAAGGAUCAACGUUUUGAAAGCGAAAACAGGCGUCAAAAAGUAAUCAAACGACGAAACGAUGUAGAUCUUUAAGGAUCUAAAUGAUCUCAUUCAAAAAAAUCAAAAAUCAUUUCAAAACCGUAAAAGCUUUUUCAAGAUCUACGUCGUUCCAAGCCGUUUUCAAAAAAACAAAUGCCGGAUUCGUGUUUAGGGUAAGAAGGCGAAUCGUUUGAUGUAGAAACUUUGAAGUUCUGGAAAAUUAGGUCGCCGGAGUGGUUUAGGCGCGCCGGAGAAGAUGAAGCUUCCGGCGGACCUUCAAGGUCUCCGCCGUGGCUUCAUCCUCACCGGCGGUGAGGGUUUAGAGAGAGAUGAGAGAAGAGAGAAGAGUUAGAGAGAGAAAGGUGUGUGACAAAUGAAAAAACCGGCGCGUUAGGGUUUUAUAUAGGGCGCUAGACCGGACCGGUUCAAGACCGGUCCAAUCCCCUGCGUAGUGAGCCCUUAGAUCUAGGGUUUGGGACCUUGGAUCAAUCCAACGGUCCCUGAGUAUCCCUGUGAGAUCCGUUUCCUCUGGUUUUGGGCUGGGCCUUCUGUUGUACGUUUUUUUGCUUCUUUUGCUGCUUGCACCAUUUUCUUUGCUAUUUGCACCUGUGGCCUGCUCAUUCUUGUUUACAAAAUUUCUAAAAAAAAUCCUAGUUGUUUCUUGGUACAUUUUUGGCAUUUUUAUGGUGUUUUCCUGCAUGUAAAAAAUAUCAAAAUGGCAUGAACAAAUUUCCAUGUGUUUUUACACUUUUGGUAUACUUUUUGCUAUGUUUUUGUUCUUGAUACUUUGAUAUGUGUUAUGAAUAAAUGAUACCAUAUCUUAUGAUGAAUAUGCCUCUGGACAUGUGCUUCUUUUUGCUGUUUUGAAUAUGAUUUUAUGGAUUUCUUGUUUUACAAGCAACAAAUGUUUGUUUUAGAGAAUAAAGUGUCAAAUUUCUCUAUGAAUUUGGUGUGAUACCUUGCUUGCAUAUGUUUCCAUUAAUUUCAUGUCAUGGCUUGAAACCAAAUUUCUUGCAAAAUUGCCAUGAUGUGAUGAUUAUGGGUUGCAAGCACCUUUAGGUAUCACAUCAAAGUUUUUAGGUUCAUUGCCACUUUAUUACCUUUUCUUUGCCAUUUUUAUGCAUUUCCUUUUGAUUACUUCCUACUAUUGUGUGCUUUAUGAUUACUAACCAUUUCAUCUCAUGUGCCAUACCUUUCAUAGCAUUCCACCACUCUCUCCACUUUCUUUAGCUUAGCAUUUAUUUUAUUUUUUUACAAGUUUUAAUUCAUUUGGUAAUGUAAUUUGUUAUCAUUGGUUUGUAGCUUGGCAAAGGGGCCAUAGAAUGUAUUUAGGCAAUUUUUGUAAUAUGGACUAUGGACACUAUGGCGCACCGACACGCACACACUCACCUUAGAUGUAUGCAUAGGAUUGUAUGGUUAGACAAGCGUUUAGGUUUUAAACCCUUAGAGAAAAUCCAUCCUUUUUCCAAAAAAAACAAUUGAACUUCACUUCAAAAAUUUUCAUAAUAAAUAUGAAGUCAACACUUCAUUUUUUUCCUUUCUUUUUUUCUUAAGAAAAAUUCAAUCCAUCUUAAUCAUUUAGACUUCCUUUCUAAUCACUAAUCAAACCUCGCUUUUUUUGCUAAAUCUAAUGCUCAUGAAGCCUCCCAAUCUCCUUCUUCAAAACCUUUUUUUUCAAAACUUAAAAUCAAACAAUUAAAACAAAAACAAGUCUUUUUAGCAAGAACUACGAACGGUUUUGAUCCCUUAAAAGGGUACGUAGGCAAUGAGUCAAAACUCAUCCAAGCCGAAAUAAAAUCCAAUUCUACUUCUUCUCUCCCCCAUUCUUAACUAAAUAAACCUCCCAUUUUCAAAAAGUAAGUAAAAAUAAGCGUAGAAAUUAACUUAGGAAAACGGCUCCUAUAGAGGACUAUAGUUACUCCGGGUGCCUAACACCUUCCCGUAGUAAAACCGACCCCCGAACUUAGAAUCUAAGGGUUUUUUCUCAAUUUUUCCCUUCCCGAGAAAAAAGAGAGAUAUCAACGGUCAAAAGGUUCAAGUCCAAUUAAUGGCUUGGCACCCAAAAACCAUGAUAACAAUAGUCAUAUGAUCAUUCGGGCAUAUUCUUAUCUUCUAGAGUUUCCUGAGAAGGUUAGAGCUUUACUUGGACUUCCAAAACACUUGCGGAAGAGUUUUCUAUUAGAAUCGAUGGUUGGUCAAGGUUACUCGUCAAGGUAAUUUAUCCAUUUUCUCAACAAGUCAAGGUUAUAUCUUGGCAUUGGUGUAUGAGUAGGUUGAAGAUUGCAGCUUGUUUACUAAUGGUUGUUUCAUCUCUACAUAUUGUUUUUGGUCUCUAAUGAGGAUCUUGAAGUCCUAGAUUAUGACAUUAGUAUAGAAUUUUGUAAUCUUGUAUUGGGAUUUAGUUACUAGCAUAUUUGACACAUUUGUCAUUUUUAUGUCAUGUAUUGAUAUAACAGGAUAUGUUGCAUUUUCAUUUUUAAAUGUCUUAUUUACAAGUAAAAUAUUUGUCAAAAACUUUCUCUAAUUUAUUUGAAAAUAAAUAAGUUGUUUUGAAUAAGCGGUUUUUGAAAAAGAUGUCCUAAUAAUCUGUUUUGCAUAAAUAAGCUGUUUUGAAUAAGCUGUUUUUUUAAAAGAGGUUGUAAUAAGCUGUUUUGCAUAAAUAAGCUGUUUUGAAUAAGCUGUUUUUUGAAAAGAGAUCGUAAUUAGUUGUUUUGUAUAAAUAAGUUGUUUUGAAAAAAGAGAUUGUAAUAAGUUGUUUUGCAUUAAUAAGCUGUUUUGAAUAAGUUAUUUUUUUUUAAAAAAAAAAAAGAUCGUAAUAAUUUGUUUUUCAUGAGAUAAGCUAUUUUUUAAAAAGAGACCGUAAUAAGUUGUUUUUUAUAAAGUGAUUGUAAUAAGUUUUUUUUUAUUCUAUAUAUAAUUUGUUUUUCAUGAGAUAAGCUCUUUUGAAUAAAUUAGAAGAUAAAUUACAAAGUAUAACAUAAUGUAUUAAUUUUAAGAGAAAAAAGGGUAAAAUAGGAAAAUUAUAACAUAAGCCCUUCAUCUUCUUUCCUUGUUGGUGUUUUAACUCCCAAACAAGGGGAAGGUUUUCCUCCUUUCUCCCUUCCUUCCCUUUCCUUCCCUUCCCCUCCUUAGCCUUUCCUUUCCUUCCCCUCAAAACUCGCAAACAAAGCCUAAGAGAACUAGUAACCGACAAAACAUAAGAGUAUGAAUAAGCUUAAAAUUGCAUCAUAUCUUUACUAUGAGUAGUGUUGGAAUCCGCAUGAUUGUUUGGCGAGAUAGUGGUUUUUCAACGGUUAGCUGCUAGGUUUGGUUCAUAGUCACAAAAUUCGCAACCGUUGCUAGGGAAAUGCGAAUUGGGAAAAUUAAUUGCUUAUUUUAGCUACCCUUGAAUCGUAAUUUUUAUUUUUUUUUUUUGUUGAUGAAUUGUUUUGGAAAAAAUUAUUAACAUACAUUAUAUUAUUUGCCUCAAAGAAAAUAAUGAAAUCUAGUAGUCGUAAAACUUUUUUUUAAGAUUUACCAAUUGCUUACACUAUACUUAAUUGGUAGUACCAGUACUACUAUUACGAACCGACCUCUACCGAAACUACAUACCUCUGCAUGUAUCGAAUUCUUCUCAUGUUGUGUAAUGCGAACUCGUACCACAUACCAAUACGAAUUACAAAUUAUGUUGAUUAUGGUUUGAUUCGGUAGUUGUUGUGUUGUCCGGUUACCAGUCCGACUGGGAAAUGAUUCUAUUGCAGCAGCUGUUUUCUGUAUAUUAGUUGUGGACACAGUUUUGGUGUUGUUGUGUCGUUUGGGUCUGCUGGGGAAUGGCUAGCAGUUGUAAUUGGGUGGGGUGUUUUUUCUUUCUUCUGCUGUUGUUUUGUGUUGUCUUUAGCACCACCAGCAUCUCCUCUUGAGAUGCUUGGGAGCUUUAAAUAAAAACAUACAUAUUUUUGUCAAAAGAAUCAAGCAAGUGAUAAAAUAUCAUUUCAUGAUUGUUAUGGACAGCCUAGAACACGUCAACUACAGUUGGCAUUCUUCUCAUUAAUACUAUACUAUCAGCUCGGUCUUUAAAUACAAUACUUUAGUUUUUGAGAGGAUAUUUUUAGAGUUAUUUUUAAUAAUGAAAGGAUAUUUAAAUACUUUAGCCUUUUUUUAAUAGUUAUUGUAAAAACAUCUUUUUUUAAUACUAGUAUUCUAUUAACAUUUUCAAUCGCAAUAAUUAUUACUUUUCCAAAAUAUUUUAAACUUAUUUUUACUUUAAUAAAUACGUAAACAAUGAGGAUUAAGUGUCGUUUAUCAUUUCAUGAUUCUUAUAUUAUGAACCAGAACUACCCCUCCGUUUCAAAAUGAGUGUCGUUUAAGUUUUUACAUGACAAUUUUACUAAACUAACCAAUUUUACUAUUGACGUAACUCUUUUUUUUUUUUUGUCGUGGUCGAGGUUUGAACCUCUGACCUUGCAUAUUUUUAUGCAUUAUCCAUACCAACUGAGCUAAGCUCACGAGGACAUGGAUGUUUUAGAUAUAAUUAAUUAAUUAGAGGGAACAAUUGAAAGUAAAAUAAUAAUUCAAUAUUGAAAAGUGUAAAUGACAUUCAUUUCGAAAUAAUUUUUUUUAUUUAAAACGAGACUUAUUUUAAAAUGAAUGAAGUAUUAAACUCAUGCUAUCGAGACCUAGAUCCAAAUCCAUUAAUUUCUACAUUGUACUUGAGUGGACACCUUUGAACAAAAGAUGCCUCAAAGUACCUUCUAACUUCUCACAUUAAAUAUUAUAAAUAGAAGAUACCUAACAUAUAGCAAAACACAUCCAUCACUCAACAAUUCACACAACAAUGUCUAUUUUUCUUAACCCCAAUACCUCAUUUCUCACUUUAUUGUUCUUUUCAUUUUCCACCUUAAUUGCACAUGCAAUUGUUCCACAAAAUGAAACCUUUAAAUUUGUAAAUUCAGGUGACCUUGGAGACUUCAUUGUAGAAUAUGGAGGUGAUUACAGAAUGAUAAGCAUAUUCAAUGCUCCAUUCCAAGUUGGUUUCUACAACACUACUCCAAAUGCCUUCACUCUAGCACUUCGAAUCGGACUUCAACGAUCGGAGCAGCUUUUCCGGUGGGUAUGGGAAGCAAAUAGAGGCAACCCAGUUGGUGAAAAUGGUACUUUUUCAUUAGGUGCUGAUGGAAAUCUUGUGUUGGCUAAUGCUGAUGGAAGAAUUGUUUGGCAAACAAACACUUCCAAUAAAGGUGUUGUUGCAUUUAGGUUACUCUCAAAUGGUAACAUGGUUUUAAUUGAUGCCAAAGAUAAAUUUGUUUGGCAAAGUUUUGACCAUCCAACAGAUACCCUUUUGGUAGAUCAAUAUUUAAAACCUAAUGGACCUUCAAAGCUUGUUAGUAGACUUUCAGAAAAAGAAAAUGUUGAUGGCCCUUAUAGUUUGGUUUUGGAACCUAAAGGUUUGGCUUUAUAUUAUAGGAGUACAAAUUCUCCUAGGCCAAGUAAAUAUUGGUUUUCUUCUUCUUGGUUUUCAUUUGAAAAAGGCUCAUUAGAAAAUGUCACACUUAAAUCUGAUCCAGAAUCUUUUGAGUUUGGAUUUGAUUUUCAUGUUACCAAUUCUACCACUUCUGGCAAUAGUAUCAUUGGUAGGCCAGUGAAUAAUAGUACCUUAACAUAUCUUAGGCUUGGAAUUGAUGGUAACAUUCAAUUUCACACUUACUUUCUAGAUGUACGCAGUGGUGUUUGGAAAGUGACAUUCACUCUCUUUGAUGAAGAUGAAGAUCUAGAUGAGAGUGAGUGUCAAUUGCCAGAGAGAUGUGGGGAAUUUGGGCUUUGUGAGGAUAAUCAAUGUUUUGGUUGUCCAUUGGAGAAUGGAAUAUUUGGUUGGAGUAAUAAGUGUAGCCCUAAGCCUUUAGGAGGAGUAUGCAAAGCAAGUGAAUUUCAUUACUACAAAAUUGAAGGAGUUGAGCAUUACAUGAACAAAUACACUAGUGGUGAUAUAGUAAGUGAAGAUGCAUGUGGAAACAAAUGUACCAAUGAUUGUAAGUGUGUUGGGUAUUUCUACCAUAAGGAUGAAUCAAGGUGUUGGAUAGCUUAUGAUCUUCAAACUCUUACUAGAGUUCAAAAUACCACACAUGUGGGUUAUAUUAAGGUGCCUAAUAAGUAAUAAGAUAAGCUUAGAUUUUUCCAUGGGAAGGUCUUGGUAUUUUUUUUUUUUUUUUUGGUAUUGUAUUUUAAUUGUAUCAAUUUAAUUUUGUUAUUUCCUACUAGUUGUUUUAGAAUGCAAUAAAGUUGUGGUUUAUCUCUUUGUUCUCCACGUGGAGAAGGACUUGUAAUAUGGGUACUAUAAAUUAAGAAGUGUGUUAUGAAAGUGUUAUUGUAAUUGUCUUAAUAUAAUUCAUAUUCUUCUCUCAUUCCAUUUAAAAUUACUUGAAUUGGUAGGCCAAGGAUUAAAGUCAUUUCUUUAUAUAAUUUGUUCCUAGUUUGACAUUAACAAAUAUCGAUUCAAUUCAAAUAAUAUUUCAGGGUUUUAACUUCAUUGAUUAUAUAAGAUUACAAUGGUCGUAAGGGAAAACUAAGAAUAUAAUAUAAUAUAGCUUAUGAAAGAUGGGAAAAUUGUUCAUGAUCGAUCAGAAAAAUAUCAAAUUCUAAGACGAUUUCAUAUAGAUAAGAAAAAAUAUUCAUGGAUCUGAGAAGAUGGUUCGUUGGCUUGAGAUCUGAUGUGUAAAGGAAUUGAGCUCUCGUCGUCCGUUGCAAGCUACAUUUAUUCGUUCUCCACCGAAAGGGUGUGGUGUACCUGCACGUGCUCUAUCGCCCAAGUCCCUAAGGAGUUCAAGAUAUUAUAGUGUGCGACUUAAAAUAGAGUAAGAAUGGUGAUACCUUACUCAAUGCUAAGCAUGAGUAUAUGUAGUGGAUAAUUAAGAUUUUGACUAUCAAGCCUUCACAUGAAAAAUUUUCCCUGGUCCUUUGGCAUUAGAUCCGGACCGGAUGGUACUUAGGGCGUGCCCGUCGUAUGGUGUCGCCUGCUCCUAGGUUUUGCAUCGGACCCAAGUCCAAAAGAAUGGGUACUGACCCAGUACAGAACAGUACUAAUAUUUGUCAUUAAAAGAAAACUUCUUAUUAUUGGUCUUUGCUCUAGUAACAAGACAAAUACCCUCUAACCAAGUAAUUGGAUUUGAGUAGUCGAAUUCCACUAAAGAACGAAUUGUUUAUGAGAUCCUAAAUUCAAUUUUUAGGUAGAACAAUUAUUUAUCAUACUUUACUUAUAUCUCGGCCAAACUUCAUAUUUUUAAAGUCCAUUCCCUUAUGAACCAAAGGUCAACAAAAAAUAAAAUAAAAUGGAUAACCAUGUAGUUUGGGGUAAAACAACGCUUUCAAGUUUCAUUCUAACAUAUUCUUCAAAAAAAAAAAAAAAAACAUUCUAACUUAGUUAUUUCUUCCAUUUACCUUCGUUUUUGUGUGCUUAAUAUUUAUUUUUCCAAUACGUGAAAAUGUUGUUAAUGAUGACACUUUCUGAUAAGUGUCGAAGGUGCGGAUAUAUGUUGGUACUUGACUACACCAUAGUGAAUGUCUUCGGGGUAUACUUUUAAGUAUUUUAAAUUAAGUAUUCGGAGUAAUUAUUUUUUUUAAAUGUCAAAGUUUUUAAUUUCUAAUGUACUAAUUACACAAACUUUCAUAAAAAGUUAUAAUUUAAGGUCCUUAACUAAUGUCUUGGAAGCAUUAGUUAACAUUUCCGAUAGUAUAAUAAUAACGAUAUAGAUAUUUGAUACAAGAGUUUUACAGGUUGGUUUACUCAAACACAAUGGUAAGUAUAUCAGUUUUAUCAAACAAAUAAAAUAUUGUAUCCAUAAAGACCGCGCUUAUUUAAUUUAAGUUUGUAUUGAUAGAUUUUCCGAACAAGUUGUUUACAAAAGUGUUUGAGUAGUUUGAUUCAAAGUAAACUGAAUAAAAAUAGAUAGAGUUAUGGAGGGAUUGAAUUUCAAUAACGAUUACUCAUAUGUUUCAUCUUAAUUGAUUGUAUACUUUUUAUGUCCUAGAUAUAACUCCACCUUUUCAUCAGCGUAUGUCUCCGGCUCAGGUUAACGACGUGAAAUAACAUAGAAACAACUGACAUUUGAUACACGAAAGCCAAAUAGCCGAUCGAAAAGAUAUAUAUGAAUAUAGACCUUCCCGCGAUCUCUUAAGCGAUAGCACCUGUUCAUAAUCUAAACCAUGUCCCUUAGAUAGCCAACCUUACUAGGCCUGACUAAAUCAAAAGAUCAAUUGUGGCACACUACAUUGGCGACAAAACAUUAAGAAAAGAUUUAGACUAAAAUUAUGUUGAAAAUAUAAAUCAUAUACAACCAUCCAAAUUAAGCGUAUUACAUAUAUUCCUAGUUAUUUAUAUCAAAUCACAACACAAGAGAGAGUUUAGUUACUCAUGGGUUGCAUGACUAACAAAAGAGAGUUGUUGAAUCUUAGAGAAGUAUCAACAAACUUGUUUCCAAGCUUCCCUAGCCUCCCAAUAGCUCCGGCUAACCUCAACAAACUUGAUUAAUUCUUACAAAUGACCUACACCUCUAUUUAUAAGGGUUAUUAAACAUCAGAUUCGCUAAACACAAAAUGCUUUCUUAGUUAAUUGAGGUUACUUUAAAGGAGGGAAAGCUCAGUUGCCUUUAGAUAUUAUUCCUUAAACCGCAUUUGCUCGCCAAGCAAGCUUUUUGUUCUUAGCGAACCGACUUUGGCAUUUCCUUCCAAAAUCGUGUGAUUAGGCUCGCUUUCACCUCGCCACGCAUGCUUGGUGAAUCCUACUUGGCUCCAUAAGUCUUUAGGAGGCAAAGACAACUUUGAUACGUGCCCUUGCCUUCCUUUACUCCGCAUUAGUACAAUCUUUGUCUUAAACCUGUAAAAUUGUAUAGAAACUAGACAUAAUAAUUUUAGGGGACAUAUAGAAAAGAUUGGAUGGAUCAACGUAAAGAUUAAUGGUUAUAUCAAGUGCAGUAAUUUUGAUUUGGAAAUUGGUUUUUAGAAAUUGAAAACUAGAUGUACGGAAAUUAAUGUUUUGCUUCUCAUUAAGGAGAGAAGAAAUAAAACAAGCUUGCAACCUACUCCCUCCGUCCCAAAUUGUACGACGUUUUGACCAUUUCACACGUAUUAAGAAAUGUAAUUAAUAUUGUGUGGGGAAGAGAAAUUAUAAGUUGUUUUACAAAAUUAUCCUUAAUAAAUGAUAUGGAAAAGAUAAAUGAAAUAAUUGAAAGAAGAGAGAGUAAUUAAUAAUUAAGGAUAUAAUAGGAAAAAUAACAUUAAUAUUUCAUUGGUAUUGUAAAGCGACAUAUAAUUUUGGACAAAAUUUUUUUUUCAAAGCGACAUACAAUUUGGGACGGAGGGAGUAAAAGAUUAUUAUAAUUAAAAUUUCAUUUUUUUUUUAAGGGAAUUUCAUUAUUUUAUUGUCAAUAUAACUUCUUCUUUUUUCAAUAAUGUCGAUAUACGUUACACCUUAUAGUUCAUAUUAUUGUCCAUAAUGUUAUUGGGUCAAUAAACCUUUGGUCCAACUAAUAUGCAGUAAUAUUUACUUUUUGACUAUUAUUUUAUCCACAUUAUUACCUUCUCAUGAGCCUUAUUUUUUUUCAGAAAUAUCUAUGGGGUUUUGAAUUAUAUAAUUUGAACACAGGAUGUGUUCGGAUUAUAUAUACAAGCAGCAAUUAGAAUCUCUCUUAUUUUAGCAGUUGCGGAUGCCGAAUUUCACUUUUAAAAACAAUAAAAAACAAAGUAAAAAAAUUAAUAAAACAUGUCAAAUAAAAUAAAAAAAAUACCACAUAAUUUUUUAAAAAUCAAAUAAAACUAAUGUAAAUUUUUUCAGAUUUUGCUAAGAAUAUAAGAAAAAAGAAAAAAGAAAAAAAAAAAAAAAAAAGGACUGAACGAAAGAAUUUUGGAUUUUGAGGGACGGAGACCUGUAAGAAGUCACUACUAGGAGAGUCAUGAUCCUUGAUAUUUUUCUAAUUUUUGGGAAAGUUUCAGAGCAAUCUGAUUAAGUAGCCUGAAAACAAGAUUUUUGAGUGAGAACAUCUAUCAAUGACCUAAAACAUAAGUAUGAGAGCUAGGAAGACUAAUAUGGUCCUUAAAUUGGCUAUCCAUGAUACAAACAGACUCAGAAUUUAUGUUGAUACAGUGCAGAUUAUAAAUCUGAAAAAGGAUGUUUUCCCCCGAAUAAGGGUGUUUAGGGGGUGUUUGAAUUCUAUAAUCCGUAAAAAAAAAAAGCAAGGAACGUAUCCUAUUUUUUGGGGUGUUUGGAUUAUAAAAUCUGAAUUGGUAAAAAAAAAAUUAUUUUUUUCCACUCCAAAACAAAAGGAAAACUCAAUUCAGAUUAUAAAAUAUGAAAAUCACAUGGACAUUUCAUAAUAUAUAAAAAAAAAAAAAAAAAAAAAAAGGGUGCGCGAGAAAUGGGUAGAAGGGAAAAAAUAUUCUUACUUUUUCAUACUAUCCAAUGGGUCAUUGUGCACAAGGUUAUUGGGUCAAUGUAAUAUGUGCUACAAAACUCUUAGAAUCAAUUAAAUAACAUGAAAAUCAUGGCCAUAGGAGAAGUGAAACUCUCCCCUCAUUCCCCUUAUUUUCGCGUGCCCUACAAACUGCUGAAAAUAUAUUUGUCUGAGUUUUAAAAUUCGGUCGCGUUUCUUUUUUGGAUUAUAGAAUUCUAACGAGAAAUAAAAAAUAAACAUAAAUGUGUAUUUUAAACAUCCAUAUUUUACAAUCUUAACACACUGACAUCGAGAAAGCGCAAACCAAAACAGAAAAUAACUAAACCAAUGAAAACUAUAAAAAAAAUUGUAUCAAACUAUCCUUGCGUAUAGAAAUUGUAUUUAGUUCUUUGAUCCCAUACACUUUAACUAAUUUUUAGGGAGAUCUCGAGACUUUUAUCUACAACUUUCACAUCAUCGUCAACUUUUCUCGUAAUCUUCAAUCUUCUUAUCAAAUCUUUGACGUUCUUAUCAUCUUCCAUCUUCUUAUUAUUUCUAAUUUUCUUAUCCUCUCCCGGUAUCUCAUCAUCCUAAACACGCUUAAGUUCAUUAUACUUACACAUUCUAGCAAAAUGUUUAAACUCUAGAUCUAUGCUUCUUGUUGACGAUGAUUUCUUCACAGUCAACCUAUAUGCGUUCUAGCAAAAGCUUAUAAAAAGCUACCUUGUGCUCCAAGUAUGUUUUCAAUGAAAAACUCUUGGAAAAUAUUAGUAACACUUUUUUACAAUAUAAAUAAAAAUAGCAAUGCUAUAUAGUGGUAAAGAAAACACAGCGAAUGCUUCCCAAAACAAAAUUAACCAAUGACAGUUUGUUGUUUGGCGGAAUACAAAGGAGGUACUCCCUCCGUUCUAAAAUAUAAGUAAAUUUGAUUUUUUAGGUUCAUUCAAUUAAUGAUGUAUGUGGUUCAUAUUAUGGACCACAUACAUCAUUAAUUGAAUGAACCUAAAAUGUAAAAUUUGCUUAUAUUUAAAAACGGACGAAGUAUUUGCUAAAAAACGGAAAUAAAAAAACAAUCCUCCAAUCAUCAUUACUAACCAGGUAUUGCCGUGGUUUUUUCGAUUGACAUUCUAUCGGGAGAAAAAGCAUUUCCCAAAUAAAAAAGUUGACACUGAAACACAAUUUUGGUUACUAACUGUAGAAAGAAAUUAAUUUUUUCUACAAACCUUAUCUUAUCCAAGGAUCCGCAUAAAUGCUACCAUGUUCAACCAAAUCAUAAGCAAGUGAUAAAAUAUCUUUCAUAUUGUCACGGACCACGGCAAUAUAUUUCAUUUGGUAUCAUUCUCACCAAUACUAAAAUGGUGAAUACAACCAUCAUCCAAUUAUUCAAUGUUAAUGUUAGGCCAUAUUAUUAUCAUACUUUUAUAUUAAUUUAUUCUAAAAUAAAUUUUAAUUUUACACAAAUUUUAUAUACAAAUUAUGAAUAUUCAGUCAAACUAUCAACUAAAAUUUAAACCAUAUGCAUAAAGUUUUUAAUUAGCCUUUAAGUUUAUAUUAAAUUUAGAAGUACUAGGUGUUCUGGACGGGCUAGAUGGUCAAUCUUACGAUGACACGUGGAUAGGGUGUCCUCUGGAUCAAGGCGCAUCACCUGUGUAAGCACGCUAGUGCUGGUGCACCUCACCUUACUGAAGCACGACCCGUGGAUCCUCUGCCGUACAUGUCGCCUCCAACAGCCCAGACGCCGCAUUUCACGGAAGCAGUUAGCACCUCCUUCCUAUAUAUAUAAGGGUAAUCUCUGCGUCGCCCUCAAGGUAUGAUUCAUUUUUCCUAUACAUUUUUACACAUUCAACCUCAUUUUAUACACUAACUUGAGCGUUGAAUUACUAACGUGUCUACAAACACCCUCCAAUCCACCACGAAGAUUUCGUUGCCACUGCACUGGAGCACCAUACCUUUACAGUUGCCUCCAUCCCUCUCUACCGGACAGAUCAAUGAUUUUAGUGCUACUACGUUUUUUUAUUUCGGUGGGUUUGGGAAGCAAAUAGAGGCAACCCAGUUGAUGAAAAUGCAACUUUUUCAUUAGGUGUUGAUGGAAAUCUUGUGUGGGCUAAUGAUGAUGGAAGAAUUGUUUGGCAAACAAACACUUCCAAUAAAGGUGUUGUUGCCUUAAGGUUACUCUCAAAUGGUAACAUGGUUUUAAUUGAUACUAAAGUUAAUUUUGUUGGCAAAGUCUUGAUCAUCCUACAGAUACCCUUUUGGUUGAUCAAUAUUUAAAGCCUAAUGGUCCUUCAAAACUUGCUAGUAGGCUUUCAGAAAAAGAAAAUGUUGAUGGUCCUUAUAGUUUGAUUUUGGAGCCUAAAGGUUUGGCUUUGUAUUAUAAGAGUGAAAUUUCACCUAUGCCAAUUAAAUAUUGGUUUUCAUCUUCUUGGUUUUCAUUUGAAAAAGGCUCAUUAGAAAAUGUCACACUUAAAUCUGAUCCAGAAUCUUUUGAGUUUGGAUUUGAUUUUUUUGUUGCCAAUUCUACCACUUCUGGUAGUAGUAUCAUUGGUAGGCCAGUGAAGAAUAGUACUUUAACAUAUCUUAGGCUUGGAAUUGAU